rnacentral:rRNA from 1 species
AUUGAACGCUAGCGGCAGGCCUAACACAUGCAAGUCGAGCGGAUGAAGGGAGCUUGCUCCUGGAUUCAGCGGCGGACGGGUGAGUAAUGCCUAGGAAUCUGCCUGGUAGUGGGGGAUAACGUCCGGAAACGGGCGCUAAUACCGCAUACGUCCUGAGGGAGAAAGUGGGGGAUCUUCGGACCUCACGCUAUCAGAUGAGCCUAGGUCGGAUUAGCUAGUUGGUGGGGUAAAGGCCUACCAAGGCGACGAUCCGUAACUGGUCUGAGAGGAUGAUCAGUCACACUGGAACUGAGACACGGUCCAGACUCCUACGGGAGGCAGCAGUGGGGAAUAUUGGACAAUGGGCGAAAGCCUGAUCCAGCCAUGCCGCGUGUGUGAAGAAGGUCUUCGGAUUGUAAAGCACUUUAAGUUGGGAGGAAGGGCAGUAAGUUAAUACCUUGCUGUUUUGACGUUACCAGCAGAAUAAGCACCGGCUAACUUCGUG